CCGCACAGUGCUGUGGCAUGCGUUUUAUGGUGAGGUCAGUUACAUAGGGCUUCUGGACGACGUAUGACUUCCCGGGGGUUGAACAACCAUCCAGGAGUCAAACUUCAGGGGAGAAGCUGGAAAAAAUUACUGGGGGACACACACGAGAGUCUGUGAUGUAAUCAACGCAAUGGAUGUAGGAAUGAGGCAUGAGUGGGCGGAGAUUCUGCACCCAUGUGGCUUUGUCGGGCGAUGACAGCGUUGGGUGAGACUUUGGGAGGAUAUAACGUCGCACAGUGGAUAUAUCCCCAGUGUAUGGCGCCAUGCCAAUUUCCACUGUAGCUGUACGAAAAUAGGUGGAGGUCGCUAUGUGAAAGAGUGAGAAGGAGGUUGCCUCGAAGAUUACCGACGAGAGAUUUCGGAGGAGAGUGCAAAUGAUAACUCGGAGGGUUGGCAGGAGGUGCAGCAUUCAAUCUACCUGACGGCAUUUUUCUUAACAAGUUUAUGAAUAUGAAUUAGGUCAACGGAAAUUAGUGAGCGAGUUGUCUAAUCCAAUCAAUGGAGGUCUGAUGGCCAAAAAAGACGGGUAUAAGUCAGCCAUUCGUUUUUCAUCUGGGGAUGAAUAUUCAAUCCAUCUAGGGGUAUUUUUCACACCAGAUCAAUGAAUACCCUGAAGGGAUUUGUUUUCGGAUGAAUAAAGACUCUCCCCAAAUCAAGAACUCGUGAAUUCCAUUUUUUCGCCGAAUAUAAAGUCGAUGGUUCAUGGACCAUCGGUGAUCUUCCUUCGAUAGUGUGACAUCUGAUUUGAAUGUUUGAGAAUUUAUAAAUAAUUGAAGCAGACCAAUGGUAACCUCCAUGACCGAGUUCCAGGUGAUAUCGAGAAUAGUCGAAUGGGGAACGGAGGAAUGGAAAAAUCAUGAAGUGAGCAACAGUGAGCGAAGGAAUAGUUAAGAGCGGAAGCUUCAAAUAAAAAUGAGUGACGAUUGAGUCUCUGAGGACGUAAUUCUGUGGUGGAGCUGAUUUUCUUCGAGUGAGUUUCCAUUUCAUUAUAUUACCAUAUAAAGGGAUAGUCUCAGGAAACAUAUUUUUAUAACUGGAAGAGGAUUGGAGAGGAGGAACUUUUCAAAAUUUUCGAGAAAUUCAUACGUUAUUUGUUGCAAUACGCCAGAUACUUGUAUUCUCGGAAAUUGUCAUGAGCAACCGAGAUUAUCUUUAAAAGCCUGUGGUAAAUGAUGACUGAAGCUUGAGCCCUAGUUGCCGAAUAUUCAAUUUACUCAGGGGACUUCUCGCAUAUAAACAUUAUGAAUAUGAAUUCUACAAAUGUCAAAGAAUCUAAAUGAUGCACAGGGUCGUUCCAUUUAUAAAUUUUCUAUGUUGCUAUGGAACAGCUAUUUCAGUGAAUAGUGAAAAUAGGUUUGCAGUGAAAUUGUGCAUCAAGUUUUCAUGUUGUUUCGAUGAUUCAAUGAAGUUUUCCAUUUUUGUUAUAUUGAAAAGGGAAUGGGAUUUGUUAACCCGAGUUUCCUCGACUAGUAUGAAAGUGUUGAAUCAUGGAGGGAUUGAGUUGUUGAAAAUACCUGAGAACCAAGGAUCGUAUUAUGAGGUAUAAAUUCUAUUCGCGUGAAUUACAAAUCAUGUAAUUUACGGCGGAAAUUUAAUAUAAAAAUGAUGAUCAAAUUUUCGGAAAUCUCUAAUUACAGCUC